rfam:Ovis aries breed Texel chromosome 12, whole genome shotgun sequence.
UCACUGGUGGUCCAGUGGUGAAGACUUUGUGCUCCCAAUUCAGGGGGUCCAGGUUCAAUCUCCUAGCCAGGGAA